rnacentral:rRNA from 1 species
GACGAACGCUGGCGGCGUGCUUAACACAUGCAAGUCGAGCGGCGCGGCGAACGGGUGAGUAACGGGUGAGUAACUGACCCCCUCUCUGGGAAAACAGUUGGAAACGGUUGCUAAUACCGGAUAGUGGGGGAUGUCUCGCGUCCAAUCAGCUUGUUGGUGGGGUGGUGGUCUACCAAGGCGACGACGGGUGGCCGGCCUGAGAGGGCGACCGGGCACAUAGUGCUGGGGUGGGGCCCGAAGGCCUACGGGAGGCAGCGGUGGGGAAUAGUGCGAAAAGGGGCAAAUCCGGAAUGACGUCCCCGGGUGCGGGAUGUCGGUCUUCGGGGAGUAAACCGCUUUCAGCUAUGACGCGGUAGUGGCAGAAGAAGCACCGGCUAACUACUGGCCGGCGGCCGCGGUAAUUC